rnacentral:tRNA from 1 species
GGGGCUGGGGCUCAGUGGUGGAGCACUUGCCUAGCACAUAUGAGGCUCUGGGUUCAAUCCUCAGCACCACCU